AUGCAGGGGAGUCAGAGACCACAAUUCAUCUGUGGACUGCGAUACAUAACAAUAGGGCUUACUUUGUUUUUCCUUUACUUUAUAUUUAUUUGUCAAGGGAUGGUUGGUUCAGGUGUCUUUGGCUGUCCCAGACAGCCUUUUAUCUCCCUCUACAUGUCCCUGUAUGGGAUCAUACCGGUCUUCUUGGCACUGAGCUUAUGGUGUAACUGGUGCAACAGUGUCUGUUGGUCUGUAACCACCAUCUUCUUCUGUUGCUGGUUUAUUGCUGGUAGCAUUGUCAUCUACUCCAUUUAUGAACCCAAGUACGACAAGACUACAGCGCAGCCUGAUCUCUACUGCAACAAGACGCUCUACCUGUUCGCAUUUUGGUUCACCAACAUGACAUACAUACUGUUAGCACUGCUCUUUUUAUCCUAUUGCUGUUGUAGACGACGAGGUGAUGGUGAUAAUGAGACUCAAACACUUGUGCGGUAAUAAAUACAGAUGAAGCAAACUUAAUUGAAAAGAUAAUCAUACACUGUAAGUUAAAUGAGGGCAAAUUGUGCAUUUAAAGGCAGUUUUCCUGUGUUUCUUAUGUAGAUAUAAUCAAAUGUUCUAAUGAGCAAUGUACAUGUUUGAUCUUUUAUCAGAGAAGAAUGACAAUUUAUAUUUUAAGUAAUUAAUGUUGGAGGUUUACUCUUUUUAAAUACUUUUGCAGCAGUACUCUGUUACGUAAUGACAUCCUUAGAUAUGAAUAAUAUCCUUUUUUUCCUUCCCAUUGAUUCUCUAAUAGGUCAGUUUUAUGAGCUUGUGUGAGGCUGAAUACUGAGGAAACAUCGAAAUACUUAGAGAAUAUAUCUGUUGAUCCAGUAACAAAAUCAGAGAAAGCACAGAGUCUUGAGUGAAAUGAUCAUUAAUCAUAAGUAAUACAUGUACAUAAAAAUGUCAAGUCAAAGUGUACUGUGCCUUUACAUUUUUCCAGGAAGAUCAGAAAUAGGUCCACGGAUUUAUUAAAAUGUACAAACAUACAAGGAAACAGACAGUAUCCAAGGCAAGAACGUUUUUAUAGUUUUAACAAGCCUGAAGGUCAAUAUUUGGUAUGAUAACCUUUAUUCCUCAACACGGGCUUUCUUUAAGUAGUCUUCAGGAAUAGUUCUCCAGGCUUCUUCAAGGACAUUCAAAGCUGCCCUUUGUUCUUUUUUUCUGUCAAGAUGAUU